rnacentral:rRNA from 1 species
GACGAACGCUGGCGGCGUGCUUAACACAUGCAAGUCGAACGGAAAGGCCCUGCUUUUGUGGGGUGCUCGAGUGGCGAACGGGUGAGUAACACGUGAGUAACCUGCCCUUGACUUUGGGAUAACUUCAGGAAACUGGGGCUAAUACCGGAUAGGAGCUCCUGCUGCAUGGUGGGGGUUGGAAAGUUUCGGCGGUUGGGGAUGGACUCGCGGCUUAUCAGCUUGUUGGUGGGGUAGUGGCUUACCAAGGCUUUGACGGGUAGCCGGCCUGAGAGGGUGACCGGCCACAUUAGGACUGAGAUGCGGCCCAGACUCCUACGGGAGGCAGCAGUGGGGAAUAUUACACAAUGGGCGGAAGCCUGGUGCAGCAACGCCGCGUGCGGGAUGACGGCCUUCGGGUUGUAAACCGCUUUCGCCUGUGACGAAGCGUGAGUGACGGUAAUGGGUAAAGAAGCACCGGCUAACUACGUG